GUGCCAGCCGCUGCGGUAAUACGGAGGGUGCAAGCGUUAAUCGGAAUUACUGGGCGUAAAGCGCACGCAGGCGGUCUGUCAAGUCGGAUGUGAAAUCCCCGGGCUCAACCCGGGAACUGCAUUCGAAACUGGCAGGCUGGAGUCUCGUAGAGGGGGGGUAGAAUUCCAGGUGUAGCGGUGAAAUGCGUAGAGAUCUGGAGGAAUACCGGUGGCGAAGGCGGCCCCCUGGACGAAGACUGACGCUCAGGUGCGAAAGCGUGGGGAGCAAACAGGAUUAGAUACCCUGGUAGUCCACGCUGUAAACGAUGUCGACUUGGAGGUUGUGCCCUUGAGCGUGGCUUCCGGAGCUAACGCGUUAAGUCGACCGCCUGGGGAGUACGGCCGCAAGGUUAAAACUCAAAUGAAUUGACGGGGCCCGCACAAGCGGUGGAGCAUGUGGUUUAAUUCGAUGCAACGCGAACGAACCUUACCUGGUCUUGACAUCCACAG
rnacentral:rRNA from 1 species